UACGUAGGGUGCGAGCGUUAAUCGGAAUUACUGGGCGUAAGCGUGCGCAGGCGGUUUGUAAGCCAGAUGUGAAAUCCCCGGGCUUAACCUGGGAAUGGCAUUUGGGACUGCAAGGCUUGAGUUUGGCAGAGGAGACUGGAAUUCCUGGUGUAGCAGUGAAAUGCGUAGAUAUCGAGGAGGAAUACCGAUGGCGAAGGCAGGUCUCUGGGCUAGAACUG
rnacentral:rRNA from 1 species